UGGGGAAUAUUGCACAAUGGGCUAAAGCUUUCUUCCGCGCCGCCGCGUUAGGGAUGACGGCCUUCGGGUUGUAAACCUCUUUCAGUAGGGACGAAGCGCAAGUGACGGUACCUGCAGAAGAAGCACCGGCUAACUACGUGCCAGCAGCCGCGGUAAUACGUAGGGUGCGAGCGUUGUCCGGAAUUACUGGGCGUAAAGAGCUCGUAGGCGGUUUGUCACGUCGUCUGUGAAAUCCUAGGGCUUAACCCUGGACGUGCAGGCGAUACGGGCUGACUUGAGUACUACAGGGGAGACUGGAAUUUCUGGUGUAGCGGUGGAAUGCACAGAUAUCAGGAAGAACACCGAUGGCGAAGGCAGGUCUCUGGGUAGUAACUGACGCUGAGGAGCGAAAGCAUGGGUAGCGAACAGG
rnacentral:rRNA from 1 species